rfam:Defluviimonas sp. 20V17 contig34, whole genome shotgun sequence.
UGACUGCCACAACGGCUUCCUGGCGUGGCGGCGUAACCCCGAAUGGAGCA